GACGGAGGGUGCAAGCGUUGUUCGGAAUUACUGGGCGUAAAGCGCGGGCAGGUGGUCCUUUAAGUCCUUUGUGAAAUCCCGGGGCUCAACUCCGGAUGUGCAUAGGAUACUGGAGGACUGGAGACUGGUAGAGGCGAGCGGAAUUCCUGGUGUAGCGGUGGAAUGCGUAGAUAUCGUCAAGAACACCGAUAGCGAAGGCAGCUUACUGGGCUGUAACUGACGCUGAUGCACGAAAGUGUGGGGAUCAAACAGG
rnacentral:rRNA from 1 species